rnacentral:antisense_RNA from 1 species
GGCCAAGCGGAGUGUACUCUUCGCCUACCAAUUGUCCGCCCUCUGCCUUUAAUUGAGCUUUAAUAAUUUUAUUUGCUGUGCGUGGAAACACAUAAUCAGAGCCAAGCAAGAAAAAUUUCUUCCCUUUAUUUUUUAGAAGCCAGUUUACUGCCGGGAC